GACGAACGCUGGCGGCGUGCCUAAUACAUGCAAGUCGAACGCUGAAGAGAGGAGCUUGCUCUUCUUGGAUGAGUUGCGCACGGGUGAGUAACGCGUAGGUAACCUGCCUUGUAGCGGGGGAUAACUAUUGGAAACGAUAGCUAAUACCGCAUAACAAUGGAUGACACAUGUCAUUUAUUUGAAAGGGGCAAUUGCUCCACUACAAGAUGGACCUGCGUUGUAUUAGCUAGUAGGUGAGGUAAUGGCUCACCUAGGCGACGAUACAUAGCCGACCUGAGAGGGUGAUCGGCCACAAUGGGACUGAGACACGGCCCAGACUUCUACGGGAGGGAGCAGGAGGGAAUCUUCGGCAAUGGGGGCAACCCUGACCGAGCAACGCCGCGGGAGUGAAGAAGGGUGUCGGAUCGUAAAGCUCUGUUGUAAGUCAAGAACGGGUGUGAGAGUGGAAAGUUCACACUGUGACGGUAGCUUACCAGAAAGGGACGGCUAACUACGUG
rnacentral:rRNA from 1 species